rnacentral:rRNA from 1 species
CAGUCGCCGCGGGAAUACGUAGGGUGCAAGCGUUAAUCGGAAUUACUGGGCGUAAAGCGUGCGCAGGCGGUUUUGUAAGACAGAGGUGAAAUCCCCGGGCUCAACCUGGGAACUGCCUUUGUGACUGCAAGGCUAGAGUACGGCAGAGGGGGAUGGAAUUCCGCGUGUAGCAGUGAAAUGCGUAGAUAUGCGGAGGAACACCGAUGGCGAAGGCAAUCCCCUGGGCCUGUACUGACGCUCAUGCACGAAAGCGUGGGGAGCAAACAGGAUUAGAUACCCCGGUAGUCCCUGUCUCUUAUAA